CUACGGGCGGCUCCAGUGAGGAAUAUUGGUCAAUGGGCGCGAGCCUGAACCAGCCAUCCCGCGUGCAGGAUGACGGCCCUAUGGGUUGUAAACUGCUUUUCUAUGCCAAGAAACCCUGUUACGAGUAACAGGUUGCCGGUAGCAUAGGAAUAAGCAUCGGCCAACUCCGUGCCAGCAGCCGCGGUAAUACGGAGGAUGCAAGCGUUAUCCGGAUUCAUUGGGUUUAAAGGGUGCGCCGGUGGGCUUGUAAGUCAGUGGUGAAAUGCUGCCGCUUAACGGUAGAACUGCCAUUGAUACUGCGAGUCUUGAGUAUGGUUGAGGUAGGCGGAAUGUGUUGUGUAGCGGUGAAAUGCAUAGAUAUGACACAGAACGCCAAUUGCGAAGGCAGCUUACUAAGCCAUUACUGACGCUGAGGCACGAAAGCGUGGGGAGCGAACAGGAUUAGAUACCCCGGUAGUC
rnacentral:rRNA from 1 species